UACAGAGGGUGCGAGCGUUGUCCGGAAUCACUGGGCGUAAAGGGCGCGUAGGCGGCCCGGGAAGGGUGCGGUGAAAGCCCGGGGCUCAACCCCGGGUCGGCCGUGGCAACUGCUGGGCUGGAGCACAGUAGAGGCGGGUGGAAUUCCGGGUGUAGCGGUGGAAUGCGUAGAGAUCCGGAAGAACACCGGUGGCGAAGGCGGCCCGCUGGGCUGUUGCUGACGCUGAGGCGCGACAGCGUGGGGAGCAAACAGG
rnacentral:rRNA from 1 species